rnacentral:rRNA from 1 species
GCCUAACACAUGCAGUCCAACGUGAAAGGGGAGCAAUCCCCCGGUAGGGUGGCAAACGGGUGAGUAAUACAUGGGUGAUCUACCUUAGGGAUGGGGAUAUCCUUCCGAAAGGAGGGGCAAUACCGAAUAUUGUCCGGAGCCGUGAAGGGUUCCGGGGAAAGGGAGGCCUCUGAUACAAGCUUUCGCCUUAAGAUGAGCCCAUGGCCCAUCAGCUAGUUGGUAGGGUAAAGGCCUACCAAGGCUACGACGGGUCGCUGGUCUGAGAGGACGACCAGCCACACUGGCACUGAGAUACGGGCCAGACUCCUACGGGAGGCAGCAGUGAGGAAUAUUGCGCAAUGGGGGAAACCCUGACGCAGCAACGCCGCGUGUGGGAAGAAGGCCUUCGGGUCGUAAACCACUUUUGCACGGGACGAAAAAGGGAUAUCGAACAAAUAUCCCCGAUGACGGUACCGUGAGAAUAAGCCACGGCUAACUCUGUGCCAGCAGCCGCGGUAAGACAGAGGUGGCAAGCGUUGUUCGGAAUUACUGGGCGUAAAGAGUCUGUAGGUGGUUUGUCAAGUCUUUGGUGAAAGGCCGUAGCUUAACUAUGGGAAUGCCAAAGAGACUGGCAGGCUGGAGGCUGGGAGAGGGAAGCGGAAUUUCUGGUGUAGCGGUGAAAUGCGUAGAUAUCAGAAGGAAGGCCGGUGGCGAAGGCGGCUUCCUGGAACAGUCCUGACACUGAGAGACGAAAGCGUGGGGAGCAAACAGGAUUAGAUACCCUGGUAGUCCACGCCCUAAACGAUGGGUACUAAGUGUGGAGGGGUUAAACCCUCCGUGCCGCAGCAAACGCAGUAAGUACCCCGCCUGGGGAGUACGGCCGCAAGGUUGAAACUCAAAGGAAUUGACGGGGGCCCGCACAAGCGGUGGUGCAUGUGGUUUAAUUCAACGCAACGCGAGGAACCUUACCUAGGCUUGACAUGUGGUGAGUAGCGAACCGAAAGGGGAGCGACCCGUCAAAUCGGGCCAUCACACAGGUGCUGCAUGGCUGUCGUCAGCUCGUGCCGUGAAGUGUUGGGUUCAGUCCCGCAACAAGCGCAACCCUCGCCCUUUGUUGCCAUCGGGUAAACCCGGGCACUCUAAGGGGACUGCCACCACAAUUGGAGAAGGAAAGAUAACUCCAUCAUCCGGC